AUGCAUGCUCCUUGGAGGGGCUCUGCCCUAUCGCUGCAGGAUCCCCACUCAGCUGAAGUUGAUACCUGAUGACAUGAAGGAGCAGAUUUACAAACUGGCCAAAAAGGGCCUGACUCCCUCACAAGUCAGUGUGAUCCUGAGAGAUGCACAUGUGUUGCACAAGUACGCUUUGUGACAGGCAAUGAAAUCUUAAGAAUUCUUAAGUCCAAGGGACUUGCUCUUGAUCUCCCUGAUGAUCUGUACCAUUCAAUCAAGAAAGCAGUUGCUAUUUGAAAGCAUCUCAAACAAAACAGAAAGGAUAAGGAUGCUAAACUAUGCCUGAUUCUGACAGAGAGCCGGAUUCACCAUUUGGCUAGAUAUUAUAAGACCAAGUGAAUCCUCCCUCCCAGUUGGAAAUAUGAGUCAUCAACAAACAGCCUCUGCCCUGCUCGCAUAA
rnacentral:lncRNA from 1 species